rnacentral:sRNA from 1 species
CCUGACAACUAGUAAUUAUCUGUGAUAAAUGUAUUUUUGCAUGCUCUGACCGUCACACAACCCCGAUUCCAACACAGAAGCUGAACCUCUCCGAUCGUUGCGGAGCCACCACUCUUGAUGUGCACUUGACAUCAUCAGCCACGGAUGAUGAAGAUGUCUUUACUAUCAGGGUGGUCAGCCUGGUGGUGCUUUCUGACCGUGAUGCGUGCACCUGAUUUUCUUUCUUUCUUCCUUUCUCAAAAGGCUUCCUCUUUUGACAUGCGUAGUAUUGUCAAAUUUUACGUGUAAAUGGAUGGGUGGUUUCAUUGCUUGAUCUGUGACGAAGGAUCCGUCGGCUCACUCAUUGAACUGAAUAACUAGAUAAUGUAGCUACCGGGGGCGGAAAGGAAAGCACAGCACAACAUUGCUAUCCGUCAUACGAACAAUAAAUGGGUAGCCGGUAAGGAAACAUGAAAAGGUGCUAAAGAUAGUUGGCGAUUUAGUAAAAAGUCAUGCAGGGGAAUCAUCUUUGGUCAACCUCUGUAUGCCUGUUGUAAAGGCAUUUAUUAUCUAUAUGACUUGCUGAAACAAUGAGGGUGGGGGAACUAGACGUGAAUUUCGAAUUGCGGAAUAGAAUCCCUGGUUGAAGGAGCUAAUACCGCAUAUCCCCAAAGCUAUACGUCUUGAAAAAGAAAAGAAAAAAAUCUGUUAUGACGC